rnacentral:rRNA from 1 species
CCUUGACAUCCAGAGAACUUAGCAGAGAUGCUUUGGUGCCUUCGGGAACUCUGAGACAGGUGCUGCAUGGCUGUCGUCAGCUCGUGUUGUGAAAUGUUGGGUUAAGUCCGCAACGAGCGCAACCCUUAUCCUUUGUUGCCAGCGGUUCGGCCGGGAACUCAAAGGAGACUGCCGGUGAUAAACCGGAGGAAGGUGGGGAUGACGUCAAGUCAUCAUGGCCCUUACGGCCAGGGCUACACACGUGCUACAAUGGCGCAUACAAAGAGAAGCGACCUCGCGAGAGCAAGCGGACCUCAUAAAGUGCGUCGUAGUCCGGAUUGGAGUCUGCAACUCGACUCCAUGAAGUCGGAAUCGCUAGUAAUCGUAGACCAGAAUGCUACGGUGAAUACGUUCCCGGGCCUUGUACACACCGCCCGUCACACCAUGGGAGUGGGUUGCAAAAGAAGUAGGUAGCUUAACCUUCGGGAGGGCGCUUACCACUUUGUGAUUCAUGACUGGGGUGAAGUCGUAACAAGGUAAGCGUAGUGCU